GCGGAAGUGACUCAGAGGCUCGCCAAUGCUAAGGAAUUGGCCAGUAAGCCUGCAGGGUUGCAUAGCCACGAGGAUCUUGCCAAAAAACUUAAGGACGAAAUGGAGAGAAACCAUAGGUCAUCAGGAUCCAAGUCUGAUGGAUCUGGGAAACGGAUGAAGGAAGUUGCCUGCCCUACUUGUACUGUUCAUUUACAGGUCCAGGUUCCAAGCUCAGGCUCAGAGACGAUCGAGUGUGGGGUUUGCCAGCAUCCGUUCCUUGUU
rnacentral:misc_RNA from 1 species